rnacentral:rRNA from 1 species
AAUGAACGCUGGCGGCGUGCUUAACACAUGCAAGUCGAACGAGAAAGGUCUCUUCGGAGGCUGAGUAAAGUGGCGAACGGGUGAGUAAUACGUGGGUAACCUGCCCUUGAGUGGGGGAUAACUUGGGGAAACUCGAGCUAAUACCGCAUAACAUCUGCGAGGCUGCGGCUCUGCAGAGCAAAGGUGGCGAAGUUAGACUGCUACCGCUUGAGGAGGGGCCCACGUCCCAUUAGCUUGUUGGUGGGGUAAUGGCCUACCAAGGCUGCGAUGGGUAGCCGGCCUGAGAGGGUGUCCGGCCACACUGGAACUGAGACACGGUCCAGACUCCUACGGGAGGCAGCAGUGGGGAAUAUUGGGCAAUGGGCGCAAGCCUGACCCAGCGACGCCGCGUGGGUGAUGAAGGCCCUUGGGUCGUAAAACCCUGUCAUGUGGGACGAAAUGCUCGAGCUCUAACAUAGCUCGGGCUUGACGGUACCACAGGAGGAAGCCCCGGCCAACUCCGUG